GAUGAAGAACGCAGUGAAAUGCGAUAAGUAAUGUGAAUUGCAGAAUUCAGUGAAUCAUCGAAUCUUUGAACGCACAUUGCGCCCCUUGGUAUUCCAUGGGGCAUGCCUGUUCGAGCGUCAUCUACACCCUCAAGCUCUGCUUGGUGUUGGGCGUCUGUCCCGCCCCCGCGCGUGGACUCGCCCCAAAUCCAUUGGCAGCGUUCCUUGCCCCCUCUCGCGCAGCACAUUGCGCUUCUCGAGGGCGGCUCCGGGACGCGAUCCAGCAAGAUGACCACCGUCUUUGACCUCGGAUCAGGUAGGGAUACCCGCUGAACUUAAGCAUAUCAAUAAGCGGAGGA
rnacentral:misc_RNA from 1 species